rnacentral:rRNA from 1 species
UACGGGGGGGGCAAGCGUUGUUCGGAAUUACUGGGCGUAAAGAGCUCGUAGGUGGUUUGUCGCGUUGUUCGUGAAAACCGGGGGCUUAACCCUCGGCGUGCGGGCGAUACGGGCAGACUUGAGUACUGCAGGGGAGACUGGAAUUCCUGGUGUAGCGGUGGAAUGCGCAGAUAUCAGGAGGAACACCGGUGGCGAAGGCGGGUCUCUGGGCAGUAACUGACGCUGAGGAGCGAAAGCGUGGGGAGCGAACAGG